GAUGAACGCUGGCGGCGUGCCUAAUACAUGCAAGUCGAGCGAACAGACGAGGAGCUUGCUCCUCUGACGUUAGCGGCGGACGGGUGAGUAACACGUGGAUAACCUACCUAUAAGACUGGGAUAACUUCGGGAAACCGGAGCUAAUACCGGAUAAUAUAUUGAACCGCAUGGUUCAAUAGUGAAAGACGGUUUUGCUGUCACUUAUAGAUGGAUCCGCGCCGCAUUAGCUAGUUGGUAAGGUAACGGCUUACCAAGGCAACGAUGCGUAGCCGACCUGAGAGGGAGGUAGGCCACACGAGAGGGGGGACACGGACCAGACUCCUGCGGGACGCAGCAGAGGGGAAUGUGACGCAAUGGGCGAUAGUCUGACAGAACAGGCCGAAGUGAGAGAUGAAAGUGUUCGGAUCGUGAAGCUGUCCUAUUGGGGGAAAACCAAUUGGGAAGGAACUAUACCGGGCUUGACGGUACCUGAUCAGAAAGCCCCGGCUAACUACGUG
rnacentral:rRNA from 1 species